rnacentral:tRNA from 1 species
GGGACUCCGCGGCAGGAGGGCAAUCGCCCUGGACACGCCCUGGAGUGCUGAAUCUACACUGCUAAGGUGGAGUCCUCGCAAGGGGACCGAGGGUUCAAAUCCCUCCGUCUCCG